rnacentral:lncRNA from 10 species
AUCUUCCGCCCGGCCAUCGGGCCGCGGGCGCUCGGAACCGACCUGGGAGCUGGCGGGACCGUCCUCCCCCGCCACGCCCUCCCAUCGGGCUUUGGGCGCCGGACUCUGGCCACCGCUCGGCACCUGCCUCCGCCUCGCCUUGGGGUAUAGGAGUCCUGUACCGACCCCUGGCUUGCCCAGAGGACAGGUUCUCGCCCGGGCCAGAAGCAAACUGCGGCGAAAUCGAGACAACAGAACUCAGAGUCACUCUGUCACCCAGGCUGGAGUGCAGUGGCACCAUCACAGCUCCCUGCAGCCUUGACUUACAGGGCUCCAGUGAUCCUCCACCCUCAGCCUCCUGAGUAUCUGAGACCACAGGUGCAAGCCACCAUGCCCAGUUGUAGCAAGGAAACCAAAAGGUAUAAACAUUCACUGAUUGAAAAACAAUGUCAUAAAGUCAUCCCAGUAUCUGUGAGGAGUUGGUUCCAGGACCCCUGAGGACACCAAAAUCCUCAGAUGCUCAAGUCCCUGAUAAAAAAAUAAAAGCAGUGGUGCCCUCGGGUUCAAAAACCUGAACGGUGGUCUUCAGUUGUUCCCCCAAGCUCCUCUAUCAGAGGCCCAGACACUCCAAGAGGCUGGGAAGAGGCAAGUGGCUUUCCCUGACUGGCAUCAGACUCCUGGAUGGCUGUGUUUCUGCAUACUCCACCAUCAACAAUCAGAAGGGCACUGCUUUCUUCAAGAAGGGGACCUUGCAAAGAACUGUCUCAGAUGGACUAUCUUUGAGUUCAUCUUGUUCUGAAUGUGAGUCUGAGUCUUUGUUUCCAGAUGACACAGUGCUGUCUGAGUCCUCUGAAUCACCUGCCUCAGAGCUGCAGCAAAGUUUCUGCUGCCCAGAAACUGAAUGGGCUGCUUGUAAUGCAGAUUCUUCCUCCUGGACAAGAAGUGCUGCUGCUUCUAGUUCUUCCAGUUCUAACCCCAACUGGGCCUUUGUAAGGGAGACUUCCUUUAAGGCUUCUGCAAGAGCUGCCAACGUUUUGGAUUUGACUUUCUGAGUCCACACACAGUAGUAUGAGAUGUAGAGAUCAUUCAGUAUGUAUGCUGGGUCGUUUUCCUGAAAAAUUUUGUGAAUAUCCAGGAGACACUUUAAAACUGCACUUUUACUUAAUUGCAGUAUCUUUAUAGUCUCCCCGUAGGCCUUCAUCGCCAGUUUGAAAUGGCGAUAGAGCAGGUAACACAAUACCCUUCUUCCAAAAGACACCAUGAUAUCAUGAACAUUAGUCCAAGUCUCAAACCAGCAUAGUAUUGGACUCAAGUUUCGUGAUAUUCCAUGCAGAUUCAACGUUCUUGUCUCCUUCAGUGACACGGGUUUCUUAGCAAUAUGCCAGAAGGAUAUCAAUCGAACUGUAGUACACUUGACGACAGGCUCUGUUGUCUAGCAGAUAAGAUUUAUUGACAAAUUCUUGUAGCUGAUAUUUCUCUUCUUCAGAAAAAGACACUAAUGCAGCAUGAUUUUCUUGCUUCUGACUCUUUUCCAAAAAGGCCGUCAUUUUUUAAUAUUUGUCAGUCCACCAAGGAUUAUACUUCAAAAUCUGUUCAACUGCCUCAUCUUCAAAAAAGUCAGCUAGAUAAUGAUCAGGAUCAAACUUGGCCAGCUCGGCGGCCAGGUGCUUUUGUUUUCGUUCUGCUGCAGGGAUGAAAUCUGGAUCCUUAAUAACAUCACUCAAUUCAUCCUGUAACUGCUGAAACACUCCUGAUCGUAAGUUUCCAAACCCAUAGUGGCAUGAGGAUUCAAAGCACUUUCUGUUACCUCUUCAUAGGGUGUCUGCUCAAUUUCCCAAUCAAACUCUUCAUCGUCAACUACUUCCUCAGGAAUUUCAGAAUCACCUAUUGCUUCCACAAGUGGUUUUGCUGUCCCGGAUUUUCCUGGUGCCAGAAGAGCAACACAUGUUCAGCCCCUCAAAAUGCUGGCCAGGGGUUUCUCUGGGCAGGCGAGUGGUAAAAAUUCCUUUAUCUGCAUCAUAGGACCCUUGCUCGCUUCCGUAUCCAUAUUCUACAAUUCUUCCAGGAGGGGUUAAUCUGAGAAAGUACGGCUUGGCAUAGUAGUCUAGGCCGACCCCUCGAAGUAGACGUUGAACUCGGAGGCCGGGGCAUAGGGCACGCGGAUGGCGAUGGUCAGGAAAUCCGGCUCCUGGCUGAGGCUGAACGCCGGGGUCAGCAUCGCGGCACCAGACGCAGGGGCCAGCGCGGCUCGCCCUCGCUGCCGCGGCGGUCCCACCAAGCAACUCUCUCCAAUUUUACCUUUUUAAAAUAAAAGAUGUCUGGGCCAGGCGCAGUGGCUCACGCUUGUAAUCCCAGCACUUUGGGAAGCCGAGGCGGGUGGAUCCUGACCUGAGGUCAGGAGUUCAAGAUCAGCCCCGCCGACAUGACGAAACUCCGUCUCUACUAAAAAUACAAACAUCAGCCGGACGUGGUGGUGGGCGCCUGUAAUCCCCACUACUCGGGAGGCUGAGGCAGGAGAAUCACUUGAACCCGGGAGGCAGAGGUUGCAAUGAGCCGAGAUCAUGCCACUGUACUCCAGCCUGGGUGACAGAGUGAGACUCUGUCUC